rnacentral:lncRNA from 1 species
AAAUUUUUACAAAAACUAAGUAAAUAAUCCAUUAUAGACAAAGACAAACUGAGAAGGAUCAUAAAAAGAGAAAGUUUAAAAGUUAAAAAAAAAAGGAAAAUGAAUUGAUGAUAGGAAUGGGUCGUCAACGGGAGAUGGAGAUCUGUGCAGUGGGAUUGUCAGCGGCUAUCGGCAUCGAGAUCGUUAGCGGUUAAAGCAGAUGAUGAUGGGAAUUGGACCAUAUGGAGAUGAAGGAGCAGUGGGAUCAUUGGCGGCUAUCAGCAUUGGGAUCGUUAGCGCGAAUAUUGGCAACGGAUCGUCAGCAGCUGCUGUUGUGGCCUAACUUCAUUUGUUCGAUCUUCAAUCUACCGGUGGUGGUAGAUGAUGACUGGGCUUAGACGGCAGUGGCUUGGUGAUGGUGAUGGAGGGUUCGGUUCAAAAAAGUGCCUGAAACAAAACUAGACAACCAGAAACAUAAAAAAACCAAAAAAACUAGAAAUAAAUCCAGAAAAAACAAAUCAUAACCAGAAAUAAAGGUGCCAGAAAACUUCAAUACUACCUUGAUUUUGGUUGUAAUCCAAAUAACAAUAACAUUUGAAUUAACAUAGCUUGGGAUCAACAGAAACUGAAAAAAGAAAUUUCUGUGAGAAUUGAGAAGACUGAAGAGUGGAGCAGGCUCAGA